rnacentral:rRNA from 1 species
AUUGAACGCUGGCGGCAUGCCUUACACAUGCAAGUCGAACGAGUGGCGGACGGGUGAGUAAUGUCUGGGAACCUGCCCGGUGGCGGGGGAUAACUACUGGAAACGGUAGCUAAUACCGCAUACCAUCGGAUGUGCCCAGAUGGGAUUAGCUUGUUGGUGGGGUAACGGCUCACCAAGGCGACGAUCCCUAGCUGGUCUGAGAGGAUGACCAGCCACACGGGGACUGAGACACGGCCCAGACUCCUACGGGAGGCAGCAGUGGGGAAUAUUGCACAAUGGGCGCAAGCCGGAUACAGCCAUGCCGCGUGUAUGAAGAAGGCCUUAGGGUUGUAAAGUACUUUCAGCGGGGAGGCGUUACCUGCAGAAGAAGCACCGGCUAACUCCGUGCCAGCAGCCGCGGUAAUAC